UGCAUCAAGUGAUGAAAUUGGAAAAAUCUUAGGACACCUUCCUACCACGGCAGCACUGUCGUGGAUGAGAAAGAAUAUUCCAUGCUGAUGAUGUG